GAAAGACCUGAAGGUGCCCUUCGGGGAGCCCGGUGACAGGUGCUUGCAUGGCCUGUCGUCAGCUCGUGUCGUGAGAUGUUGGGUUAAGUCCCGCAACGAGCGCAACCCCUUUCUUUAGUACCAUCAUUUAGUUGGGGACUCUAAAGAUACUGCCCCGGUUAACGGGGAGGAAGGUGGGGAUGACGUCAAGUCCUCAUGGCCUUUAUGCCUAGGGCUACACACGUGCUACAAUGGGCUGUACAAAGGGUAGCCAGCCUGCGAGGGUAAGCCAAUCCCAGAAAGCAGCUCGUAGUUCGGAUGGCAACUCGACUUCCAUGAAGCUGGAAUCGCUAGUAAUCG
rnacentral:rRNA from 1 species